UACGUAGGGGGCAAGCGUUGUCCGGAUUUAUUGGGCGUAAAGAGCGUGUAGGCGGUUUGGUAGGUCCGCUGUGAAAACUCGAGGCUCAACCUCGAGACGCCGGUGGAAACCAUCAGGCUAGAGUCCGGAAGAGGAGAGUGGAAUUCCUGGUGUAGCGGUGAAAUGCGUAGAUAUCUGGAGGAAUACCGGUGGCGAAGGCGGCAUCCUGGACCGACAUUGACGCUGAGGAGCGAAAGCUAGGGGAGCAAACGGG
rnacentral:rRNA from 1 species